rnacentral:misc_RNA from 1 species
AACUUUCGGCAAUGGUUCUCUUGGCUCUCGCAUCGAUGAAGAACGCAGCGAAAUGCGAUAAGUAAUGUGAAUUGCAGAAUUCAGUGAAUCAUCGAAUCUUUGAACGCACCUUGCGCUCCUUGGUAUUCCGAGGAGCAUGCCUGUGUGAGUGUCAUUAACAUAUAUAUCAGACUUAUCUUUGUUAAGUGGUCUGGAUGUGGGGGUUUUUGCUGGCUUGUUCAGCUCACCUUAAAUGCAUUAGCAGAACAAACCUUGUUCAUUGGUGUGAUAACUAUCUACGCUAUUGAAUGUGAGGGGAAGUUCAGAUUUCUAACCGUCCUUGGACAAUUCAUCAUUAAUGUGACCUCAAAUCAGGUAGGACUACCCGCUGACCUUAAGCAUAUCAAUAAGCGGAGGCU